rnacentral:rRNA from 1 species
CUACGGGCCGCUGCAGUGGGGAAUUUUGCGCAAUGGGCGAAAGCCUGACGCAGCAAUACCGCGUGAGUGAAGAAGGCCUUUGGGUCGUAAAGCUCUUUUCUGAAGGAAGAUAGUGACGGUACUUCAGGAAUAAGCACCGGCUAACUCCGUGCCAGCAGCCGCGGUAAUACGGAGGGUGCAAGCGUUGUUCGGAUUUACUGGGCGUAAAGGGCGCGUAGGCGGCAUAGCAAGUUAAGGGUGAAAUCCCGGGGCUUAACUCCGGAACUGCUCUUAAAACUGCUAAGCUAGAGAUAGUCAGAGGCGGGUGGAAUUCCUAGUGUAGAGGUGAAAUUCGUAGAUAUUAGGAGGAACACCGGUGGCGAAGGCGGCCCGCUGGGGCUUAUCUGACGCUAAGGCGCGAAAGCGUGGGGAGCAAACGGGAUUAGAUACCCUAGUAGUC